rnacentral:rRNA from 1 species
GAUGAACGCUAGCUACAGGCUUAACACAUGCAAGUUCGAGGGGCAGCACGGUCUUAGCUUCGCUAAGGCCGAAGGCGACCGGCGCACGGGCGAGUAACACGUAUCCAACCUCGCCGUCUACUCUCGGACAGCCUUCUGAAAGGAAGAUUAAUACAAGAUGGCAUCAUGAGUCCGCAUGUUCACAUGAUUAAAGGUAUUCCGGUAGACGAUGGGGAUGCGUUCCAUUAGAUAGUAGGCGGGGUAACGGCCCACCUAGUCUUCGAUGGAUAGGGGUUCUGAGAGGAAGGUCCCCCACAUUGGAACUGAGACACGGUCCAAACUCCUACGGGAGGCAGCAGUGAGGAAUAUUGGUCAAUGGGCGAGAGCCUGAACCAGCCAAGUAGCGUGAAGGAUGACUGCCCUAUGGGUUGUAAACUUCUUUUAUAAAGGAAUAAAGUCGGGUAUGGAUACCCGUUUGCAUGUACUUUAUGAAUAAGGAUCGGCUAACUCCGUGCCAGCAGCCGCGGUAAUACGGAGGAUCCGAGCGUUAUCCGGAUUUAUUGGGUUUAAAGGGAGCGUAGAUGGAUGUUUAAGUCAGUUGUGAAAGUUUGCGGCUCAACCGUAAAAUUGCAGUUGAUACUGGAUAUCUUGAGUGCAGUUGAGGCAGGCGGAAUUCGUGGUGUAGCGGUGAAAUGCUUAAAUAUCACGAAGAACUCCGAUUGCGAAGGCAGCCUGCUAAGCUGCAACUGACAUUGAGGCUCGAAAGUGUGGGUAUCAAACAGGAUUAGAUACCCUGGUAGUCCACACGGUAAACGAUGAAUACUCGCUGUUUGCGAUAUACUGCAAGCGGCCAAGCGAAAGCGUUAAGUAUUCCACCUGGGGAGUACGCCGGCAACGGUGAAACUCAAAGGAAUUGACGGGGGCCCGCACAAGCGGAGGAACAUGUGGUUUAAUUCGAUGAUACGCGAGGAACCUUACCCGGGCUUAAAUUGCAGAUGAAUUACGGUGAAAGCCGUAAGCCGCAAGGCAUCUGUGAAGGUGCUGCAUGGUUGUCGUCAGCUCGUGCCGUGAGGUGUCGGCUUAAGUGCCAUAACGAGCGCAACCCUUGUUGUCAGUUACUAACAGGUUCCGCUGAGGACUCUGACAAGACUGCCAUCGUAAGAUGUGAGGAAGGUGGGGAUGACGUCAAAUCAGCACGGCCCUUACGUCCGGGGCUACACACGUGUUACAAUGGGGGGUACAGAGGGCCGCUACCACGCGAGUGGAUGCCAAUCCCCAAAACCUCUCUCAGUUCGGACUGGAGUCUGCAACCCGACUCCACGAAGCUGGAUUCGCUAGUAAUCGCGCAUCAGCCACGGCGCGGUGAAUACGUUCCCGGGCCU